rnacentral:tRNA from 1 species
AGGCCAAUAGCUCAACUGGCAGAGUGUCGGUCUCCAAAACCGAAGGUUGGGGGUUCGAUUCCCUCUUGGCCUGCCA